GAAAUCCCUCUCCUUCCUUUUCGAGUACAUUGGAGAAAUGGGCAAGGAUUAUAUAUAUGCUGUAACUCCAUUACUGGAAGAUGCUCUUAUGGACAGAGAUCUAGUACACAGGCAGACUGCUGCCUCUGCUGUGAAGCACAUGGCUCUUGGUGUUGCUGGUCUUGGAUGUGAGGAUGCACUUGUCCACCUUUUGAACUAUGUCUGGCCAAACAUUUUCGAGACGUCUCCACAUGUGAUCAACGCAGUCAUGGAAGCCAUCGAAGGAAUGAGGGUCGCACUAGGAGCAGCCGUAGUCCUCAACUAUUGUCUCCAGGGAUUGUUCCAUCCAGCAAGGAAGGUUCGAGAAGUUUACUGGAAGAUAUACAACUCCCUCUAUAUCGGCGCCCAAGAUGCCCUUGUAGCUUCUUAUCCUAUUCUGGAAGACGAUGAAAACAAUGUCUACAGUAGGCCUGAGCUGAACAUGUUCAUUUAGAUAUUUCCCUCUUAUAUCUGCUUUGCCAUUUUUUUACGCGUUUUCGUAUUCCAGCACGAUGAAGUAGCGUAGCGUCUCUUGUUUUCAACUACACUUGUGAUGUAUCUUAUAUUCUAUUGUUCCCCGUUUUCCCUUUUUAAACACAUUUGCUUAGCUUUGUAUGAAGUGUUUUU
rnacentral:misc_RNA from 1 species